GUUAAAAGCAGCUACCGGCGGCUUAGUGAGUUUGCUCCUAGUUGAAGUAAUUCUAAAGGAGUGUGCAAUAUUCUUCCAGGCAAGAUAACAAGCUGUUCACUUUUUUAAAUUUCAUGGACAAUCAUCACUGAGCAAUUAAAAUUUGUGCUACCAGUGUCUGUGGAGUGUCUUAUCAAUGCAAUAUUUUUCUUUUCUUGUUCUUUUGGAUGGAAAUACAAGACUACCUAUAUAAGCUUAAUGCAAUCUCCUGUAUAUGCUAAUGUGUUCAUGAUCAAAAUUUUCUUGUGUUGACCUUACAGAUUGUGCUACUUGGUUUAGUUGAUACAGAUUCCUGGUUUUACAGAAAUACCUUAAUGCUUCUAGAACCUACCAUUUUUGGGGUGAUUAUUAUUAGGCUAUAUGCUAUUACUUGCCUUACAAGUGGAACUCGUUUCUUACUUUUGUGCUACAUUUCAGGUUUGGACAUCUGCAGUUGUUGUAAUUGUUCUGAUCUGAGGCAGGAUGCGAUGAUGGAUGAACCAUUUAGAAGUUUAGAGCUGGUUUGUGUGGCUACUUUAAUCACAUUCCCUAGUGCUGCCACCCCUGAUUUUGCUGCAGAGCCUGCACUCAACUUGCAGCAGAUAUAGAGGAUGAGACCACAAACACGGAUUCUCCUAUGGAAUUGUUGAGUUCGUGUCUUUAGUUUGUUGCAUUAGUAAUAUCUUCUUUGUUGCUCAUUAAAUAAUUCUCUGUCGACCUUUUAUUUUUUUUUGCUUUUGAUGGAUGUGUAGAUUUCAUUUUGACAGUUUUGCAGGGUUCGUUUAUUGUUGGUUUGCAGAUUUAUUUAAUUUGUAGCAAGUGCCAUACGAAAAAAUAUUCACUUGUAUACUACCAAGUAGAAUUACAAUUCUUGUUGCCUGCAACUGAAAUUUGCAGAACUUGCUGUUUGAAUAGUUGUUGUCUACUGAAAUCACUAUACCUGAAAGCAUCUGAACAUUUAUUUGCUCUAUCAUGAAAACAAGAAACAAAAACAAAAAGACCAAGUGAGCUAAUUUUAAUUGAGACCUACUGCUGAGAUAAUUUGAUUUUGAUUUCAUCAGGUCUUAGUACUUCAGAUCCCCUCAUGUUGAUAAGAAGCUCUGUUAUAUUUUGAUGUAUUAAUUUUGUAGGUUAUAUGGAACUCACAACUUUGCCUGAUGUUAUAUUGGUCUCAUGCAGGUUUUUGGCACUUGGUUUCAUCCAUGUGAAGUAAACGGGCCCUUGUAUAUUAUCAUGCUUUGCAAUCUUGAAUUUAGUUAUGGGUUAUUUGCUCUUAAAAUGAAUCAGAGCUUGUCUGACAGUGUCUACCCAACUUUAAUCUAAACUGUAAAGGAUUAUGAUAUAAAUAAUAACUUGAACUGCUUUUUUUUUAUAUAAUAAUUGAGCUUAUAGCCUCUAGUAUAACUAAUCAUGAUUUUGAAGUGCUUAAUCAUUAUUUAUGGAGAUGCAUUCCCUGAUUCAUUAUGGUGAAAGCCAUUUAUCAGUCUUCAAAACAGGGACCUUAUGCACUUGAGGGCUUCAUGUCAAUUAGAUCAAUGGGCUAACAUACAUAAUAUGAUGGUUUUAUUGUUGUCAUGAAUCAGGUUAAAGAGAGCUUGCUGGCUCCAGUUCUUUGUUCAUGUUCAGUCAAAGAAGAAAAUUUGUUCCUUAGGAUGUCAAGAAUUAAAGCCCCAUUACCAUCCUUCAGCUCUUGGUUGGUUCAAACUUUAAACGUAAGUCUCAAGUUUAAGCAUUGUAGUGUGAGUUAAGAUCCUCUAUUUCAAUGAAUGUUUCCAAUGAGGCAUACCGCUGCAUUGUAAUGACAUCCACCUUUGAGGGUUGGGUGGAUCAGACUGGAAAUUGAGAUUAUCAUCAUUAUUAUGUUUAAAGCAUGAUUGUAGCUAAUUCUUUUACCAUCAAGAAGACUUGUGCUUGAAAUUGUUUGAGUCCACUGGUGGAAUUCAACCAGUAGCAGAAGUGAAGAAAUCAUUUAUUUCAAUGGAAGAUGGUUUUACUCGACACCAAAGACAGGAGUGAGUGGCUCGAAGCAACUCGAGAGACCUGGAAGAAGAGCUUUUCACCUUGAAAAUGACACUAGAGGACUGAGACAUGGAAGGAUAUUGUGAUGGUUUUAUAUAUGCUUGGUAACUAGUCAAUGUUUUAUUGUUAUACAGCGAAAUGUUCUCAUUAAACAAUUAAAUCUGAUGGACUUUGACAAGUAUGAGC
rnacentral:lncRNA from 1 species